UUUAAAGUCUAAUCUGCCCNCUGAUGAAAAUUAAAGGGCUGCAGUAUUUUGACUGUACAAAGGUAGCAUAAUCAUUAGUUUUUUAAUUGAAAACUUGUAUGAAAGAUUUAAUGAAAUAUAUACUGUCUCAAAUUUAUUAUUAAAAAUUUAUUUUUUAGUUAAAAAGCUAAAAUAUUUUUAAAAGACGAGAAGACCCUAUAGAGUUUUAUAUUUAUUUUUAUUAAAAAGUUAUAUAAAAAUUAAUAUUAAAAUAAAAUAAAAUAUUAUAUUGGGGUGAUAGAAAAAUUAAAUUAACUUUUUUUAAUAAAUUAAUAUUAAUAAAUAAGUAAAUGAUCCAUAAAUAAUGAUUAAAAGAAAAAAUUACCUUAGGGAUAACAGCGUAAUUUUUUUUUUUAGUUCAAAUAAGAAAAAAAAGUUUGCGACCUCGAUGUUGGAUUAAGAUAAAAUUUAAAUGCAAAAGUUUAAAAUUUUGAUCUGUUCGAUCAUUAAAAUCUUACAUGAUCUGAGC
rnacentral:rRNA from 1 species